rnacentral:rRNA from 1 species
UACGUAGGGCGCAAGCGUUGUCCGGAAUUAUUGGGCGUAAAGAGCUCGUAGGCGGUCUGUCGCGUCUGCCGUGAAAACCCGAGGCUUAACCUCGGGCUGGCGGUGGAUACGGGCAGACUAGAGGUAGGUAGGGGAGAAUGGAAUUCCCGGUGUAGCGGUGAAAUGCGCAGAUAUCGGGAGGAACACCGGUGGCGAAGGCGGCUCUCUGGGCCUUACCUGACGCUGAGGAGCGAAAGUGUGGGGAGCGAACAGG